UAUUAAGGCAGCAGCCACUUCAAAGUGU
rnacentral:piRNA from 1 species